rnacentral:lncRNA from 1 species
ACUUUACCUCUCUCUCUCCCUCUCUCUCUACUUUACCUCUCUCUCUCCCCCUCUCUCUACUUUACCUCUCUCUCUCCCUCUCUCUCCCUCUCUCUCUACUUUACCUCUCCUCUCUCUCUCUCUACUUUACCUCUCUCUCUCCCUCUCUCUCUACUUUACCUCUCUCUCUCCCCUCUCUCUACUUUACCUCUCUCUCUCCCUCUCUCUCUACUUUACCUCUCUCUCUCCCUCUCUCUCUACUUUACCUCUCUCUCUCCCUCUCUCUCUACUUUACCUCUCUCCCUCCCUCUCUCUCUACUUUACCUCUCUCUCUCCCCUCUCUCUACUUUACCUCUCUCUCUCCCUCUCUCUCUACUUUAACUCUCUCCCCCUCUCUCUCUACUUUACCUCUCUCUCUCCCUCUCUCUCUACUUUAUCUCUCUCUCUCUCUCUCUCUCUACAUUACCUCUCUCUCUCUACUUUACCUCUCUCCCUCCCUCUCUCUCUACUUUACCUCUCUCUCUCCCCCUCUCUCUCUCCUCUCUCUCCUUCUCUCUCUACUUUACCUCUCCUCCCCUCUCUCUAAUUUACCCCUCUCUCCCCCUCUCUCUCUACUUUACCUCUCUCUCUCCCCCUCUCUCUACUUUACCUCUCUCUCUCCCCCUCUCUCUCUCCCUCUCUCUCUACUUUACCUCUCCUCCCCUCUCUCUAAUUUACCCCUCUCUCCCCCUCUCUCUCUACUUUACCUCUCUCUCUCCCUCUCUCUCUACUUUACCUCUCUCUCUCUCUCUACUUUACCCCUCUCUCCCUCUCUCUCUACUUUACCUCUCUCUCUCCCUCUCUCUCUACUUUACCUCUCUCUCUCCCUCUCUCUCUACUUUACCUCUCUCUCUCUCUCUCUCUCUACAUUACCUCUCUCUCUCUACUUUACCUCUCUCCCUCCCUCUCUCUCUACUUUACCUCUCUCUCUCCCCCUCUCUCUCUCCCUCUCUCUCCUUCUCUCUCUACUUUACCUCUCCUCCCCUCUCUCUAAUUUACCCCUCUCUCCCCCUCUCUCUCUACUUUACCUCUCUCUCUCCUCCUCUCUCUACUUUACCUCUCCUCCCCUCUCUCUAAUUUACCCCUCUCUCCCCCUCUCUCUCUACUUUACCUCUCUCUCUCCCUCUCUCUCUACUUUACCUCUCUCUCUCUCUCUACUUUACCUCUCUCUCCCUCUCUCUCUACUUUACCUCCCCCCCUCUCUCCACCGUCAGCAUCAAGGUCAGGCAGCGGACUUCGGCUCUUGCAACCUGUCUCUGUGCAUUCCUCACUGCUGGGACACCAUGCCGCUGUCUCCCUACAUCUUUAAAAGCAUGGCGGGGACGAAAGAGAGAGAGAGAGAGAGAGAGGAGAGAGAACAUUGCGUGUGAGGCCAGCGGCCAAACGACACACACACACUAGCCUUCACCUCUGGAGAGUGAGAGAGAGAGUAAGAGAGAGGGAGAGAGAGAGAGAGAGAGAGAGAGAGAGAGAGAGAGAGAGAGAGAGAGAGAGCAUCAUUUAUAAAGCAGAGCAGAGGACCACAGUGAAGAAGGGUGAAAGGAUGAUGGCUAAGAGGACUGAAGAGGGGAGGGGGGAUGUUGGGA